rnacentral:rRNA from 1 species
GACGGAGGAUGCAAGUGUUAUCCGGAAUCACUGGGCGUAAAGCGUCUGUAGGUGGUCAAAUAAGUCAACUGUUAAAUCUUGAGGCUCAACCUCAAAAUCGCAGUCGAAACUAUUAGACUAGAGUAUAGUAGGGGUAAAGGGAAUUUCCAGUGGAGCGGUGAAAUGCGUAGAUAUGUGGAGGAAUACCGAUGGCGAAGGCAGCCUCCUGGGCCAACACUGACGCUCAUGCACGAAAGCGUGGGGAGCAAACAGG